rnacentral:rRNA from 1 species
CCUACGGGAGGCAGCAGUAGGGAAUCUUCCACAAUGGACGAAAGUCUGAUGGAGCAACGCCGCGUGAGUGAAGAAGGUUUUCGGAUCGUAAAACUCUGUUGUGAGGGAAGAACAAGUACGAGAGUAACUGCUCGUACCUUGACGGUACCUCAUUAGAAAGCCACGGCUAACUACGUGCCAGCAGCCGCGGUAAU